rnacentral:rRNA from 1 species
UACGGAGGGUGCGAGCGUUGUCCGGAAUCACUGGGCGUAAAGGGCGCGUAGGCGGCUCUGCACGUCCGUUGUGAAAUCGCCCGGCUCAACUGGGCGGGGUCAGCGGAUACGGCAGAGCUUGAGCAAGCUAGGGGGCAAUGGAAUUCCCGGUGUAGUGGUGGAAUGCGUAGAUAUCGGGAGGAACACCAGUGGCGAAGGCGGUUGCCUGGGGCUUUGCUGACGCUGAUGCGCGAAAGCGUGGGGAGCGAUCCGG